GUUUGAUCCUGGCUCAGGAUGAACGCUAGCGGCAGGCCUAAUACAUGCAAGUCGAGGGGCAGCACGGGUAGCAAUAUCUGGUGGCGACCGGCGCACGGGUGCGUAACGCGUAUGCAAUCUACCUUUAACUGGUGAAUAGCCCGAAGAAAUUCGGAUUAACACACCAUAAUAUAUUAGAGUGGCAUCACUUUAAUAUUAAAACUCCGGUGGUUGAAGAUGAGCAUGCGUGACAUUAGCUAGUUGGUGAGGUAACGGCUCACCAAGGCUACGAUGUCUAGGGGAUCUGAGAGGAUUAACCCCCACACUGGUACUGAGACACGGACCAGACUCCUACGGGAGGCAGCAGUAAGGAUAUGGACAAUGGUGGAAACACUGAUCCAGCCAUGCCGCGUGAAGGAUGACGGCCCUAUGGGUUGUAAACUUCUUUU
rnacentral:rRNA from 1 species